rnacentral:rRNA from 1 species
UACGUAGGGUGCAAGCGUUGUCCGGAAUUAUUGGGCGUAAAGAGCUUGUAGGCGGUUUGUCGCGUCUGCUGUGAAAUUUCGGGGCUCAACCCCGAACUUGCAGUGGGUACGGGCAGACUAGAGUGUGGUAGGGGAGACUGGAAUUCCUGGUGUAGCGGUGAGAUGCGCAGAUAUCAGGGGGAACACCGAUGGCGAAGGCGGGUCUCUGGGCCAUAACUGACGCUGAGAAGCGAAAGCAUGGGGAGCGAACAGG